AAUGAACGCUGGCGGCGCGCCUAAUACAUGCAAGUCGAGCGAGAAGACGUAGCAAUACGUUUGUAAAGCGGCGAACGGGUGAGGAAUACAUGGGUAACCUACCCUCGAGUGGGGAAUAACUAGCCGAAAGGUUAGCUAAUACCGCGUACGCUUCUUGGACUUCGGUUCAGGGAGGAAAGCGAUGCCGAGGGUAUCGCGCUCUUGGAUGGGCUCAUGUCCUAUCAGCUUGUUGGGAGGUAACGGCUCACCAAGGCUUCGACGGGUAGCUGGUCUGAGAGGACGAUCAGCCACACUGGCACUGCGACACGGGCCAGACUCCUACGGGAGGCAGCAGUAAGGAAUAUUGCGCAAUGGGCGAAAGCCUGACGCAGCGACGCCGCGUGGGGGAUGAAGGUCUUCGGGUUGUAAACCCCUUUCGGGAGGGAAGAUGGAAUGGGGUAACCCA
rnacentral:rRNA from 1 species